UCAGACCAGGGCUUCUCACCACCAGGUUGAAGCUCCCUUCUUCUCUCCUAUCUUCAUAGGAACUCCUAGCUUUUGCAGGACUGGUUCUUUGGAUGAGAGCAGAGCAGAGCAGAGCUGGGAAGAUCCAGGUGGUCUGGGGAGAGAGCAUUUCCAGGACCCACCCCAGUGUGUGCCACCCUCAGGAGCCCCUGGCAGGACCAAGACUCAGGGUCCUCAUUGUGGGCCUCUGCAGCUUGUGGAAGGCACCAUAUAAAGAAGUCCAGGCUAUACUCCUAGAGGCCACAUGCAAGAGAACUGAGGCAUCCCAGCUGACAGCCAGCACCAACUGCCGGGCAUGUGAGUGAACUUUCCUAGAAUACGACCCUCCAGCUCCCAUCAAUCAAGACUGAAGAUGAUAUAGCCCUGGACAGUGCGGCUUGACUGCAGCCUCAUGAGACACCCAGAGUCAGACCACCCAGCUAAGCUGCUCCUGGAUUUCUGACCCUCAGAAACUAUGAUACAAUAAAUAU
rnacentral:lncRNA from 10 species